rnacentral:rRNA from 1 species
GACGAACGCUGGCGGCGCGCCUAACACAUGCAAGUCGAGCGGUGAACCGGGCUUCGGCCCGGGGAUCAGCGGCGAACGGGUGCGUAACACGUGGGCAACCUGCCCCUCACUCUGGGAUAACCCCGGGAAACCGGAGCUAAUACCGGAUACUCCGGCCGGAUCGCAUGGUCUGGCCGGGAAAGGUCCGCCGGUGAGGGAUGGGCCCGCGGCCUAUCAGCUUGUUGGUGGGGUAACGGCCCACCAAGGCGACGACGGGUAGCUGGUCUGAGAGGACGACCAGCCACACUGGGACUGAGAUACGGCCCAGACUCCUACGGGAGGCAGCAGUGGGGAAUCUUGCGCAAUGGGCGAAAGCCUGACGCAGCGACGCCGCGUGGGGGACGAAGGCCCUCGGGCUGUAAACCCCUUUCGGCGGGGACGAAGCGAACGUGACGGUACCCGCAGAAGAAGCCCCGGCUAACUACGUGCCAGCCGCCGCCGUAACAC